UACGGAGGGGGCCAGCGUUGCUCGGAAUCACUGGGCGUAAAGGGCUCGUAGGCGGUUUGAUAAGUCCUGUGUGAAAUCCCUUGGCUCAACCAAGGAAUGGCGCAGGAUACUGUCAUACUUGAGGCCGGGAGAGGGAAGCGGAAUUCCCAGUGUAGCGGUGAAAUGCGUAGAUAUUGGGAGGAACACCGGUGGCGAAGGCGGCUUCCUGGACCGGUUCUGACGCUCAAGAGCGAAAGCCAGGGGAGCAAAC
rnacentral:rRNA from 1 species